rnacentral:sRNA from 1 species
AGAAUGGAACAUCUUAACACAAUAAAGUGCAACAAAAAAUACAAAUAAAUUGCAACAUCACUAAAAUUCGCAACAAAACCCACCUCUGACUUCUUCUGUUCCGUUCACCGGAACCAAGCGACCGGCAUGGGGAGAGAAGCGAGAUGAUGGCACAGACGAGGAUGAGGGCAAGCAACGAUUUUAGGUGGGUGACCCCGCCAGGGCCAGCGGCAUCGACAUCCAGUCUAGUGCCUCCUUCUUUGCGUUGCAUUGCUCCGUUGCUGGUAGAGGGCUAGCACCUCGACCAGUCAUCCCUUUCGCCUCGGCAUGCCAUGCCGCUGCCAGCGUGGUCGUUGGCGUCCUCCUCCCUUUUUGCGUCGUGUUGCCCUGUCGCCACCCGCGUGGCCGCCCAUGGCCUCCUCCCACUUCACGUCUCGGUGGACGCAACGACGAUGGCAGUGCCAUCGUGUGUUCCCUAUGAGCGCAAAAACGAUGAGGAGAAAAUGAGAGGGUAAGGUUGUGGGAAGGAUGGAUUGAAUCAACUGUGGAACCCAUCUUAUAUGACCGUCCGACGUUUGGUCUGACAUCGAACGCUCGGGGAUCAGCCUAUUUAUGGAUAUCUUGCUCUAAAUUAUUUGUUAGCUUUAAUUCAUUCCUAUAAGCAAGUGUCUUUACUCUGUCCAAUCAUCCAUUUCAUACUUGUUGAUAGUUAGAAGAUUUGAUGUUAGAAAAUAUCAAUGCCUACUUCUAAUUUAAUUGCAAAUAAGUUAACGGUUAUGCUUCGUAACAAAGGCCGAAAGAUUUAUCCUUAUAGUGGCCAAGGUGCAUCCUUCGAAACAACUAGUCGUGCACCUAAGCCCUACCUGGAAAUAGGUUUUGGUUUUGUAAAGCAUUUUCUCCCCACCAAUCGGUGACCCUAUUGAGACUCGAAGGCACUUGGCACUUUAGAUCCAUCAUCAGAUUUCAGUAAUUAUUCCCACAUAAAAAUGCUAUGUUCUGAGCAUGGCUAAGCAUAAACCUAAAAGUUCUACUAAGCACAAGAUAUAUAAUAUUCACUAGCUGAUUUUGUUUACCUAGGGUUGUCAAGGAUAAACAUGAUAUAAUAACUAACUAGCAUGGUGGCCCGCGCAGAUUACGCGGCUAGCAUGAUUAUAUUUUCUCUCAUAUAAUAGUACAUAUGUUUUCUUAUUAUAUUAUUCAAAUAUAUUAAAACGACAACAUAAUUUUAAAUUUUACAAUAACUUUACAAAACUACUAAUGUGUAAUAUUCAUAUUGUAUUUUAUAUACGUGUUAGUUAUUAAUUAUUUUUAAUAUCAAAUUUUAGUUAUUUGUAAAUUAUAUAUAUUCCUACAUGGACUCUAGAUUCGUCUUUUAAUAUUUCUUUUUUUAAUUCCGAAUUUUCUGUAAAUUGUAUUUCUAUAUAGACUCUAUGCUCUUCUUCCAAUAUUAUUUAUUUUUAUUUCUGAAUUUUUAUUAUUUCUAAUUGUAUUUCUAUGUGGACUCUAAACUCAUCUUUCAAUAUUCUUUAAUUUUUAAUUUCGAAUUUUAGUUACUUCUAAAUUGUAUUCCUAUAUUGACUUUAAACUCUUCUUUCCAUGUUUUUCUUAAUUUCAAAUUUUAGUUAUUUGUAAAUUGUAUUUUUAUACGGACUCUAAACUGUACUUUUAAUUUUAUUAUGUUUAUUCUAAAUUUUAGUUAGUUUUAAAUUCCUAUAUGGACUCUAUACUCUACUUAUAAUAUUCCUUAUUUUUUAAUUCCGAAUUUCUAUUUUUUAUUAAUUGUAUUUCUAUAUGGACUCUAUACUCUACUUCUAAUAUUCCUUAUUUUUAAUUCCAAAUUUCUAUUAUUUCCUAAUUGUAUUUCUAUAUGGACUCUAUACUCUACUUCUAAUAUUCUUUAUUUUUAAUUCCGAAUUUCAGUUAUUUUCUAAUUGUAUUUCUAUAUAGACUCUAUACUCUACUUCUAAUAUUCCUUAUUUUUAAUUUCGAAUUUAAGUUAUUUCCUAAUUGUAUUUCUAUAUGGACUCUAUACUCUACUUCUAAUAUUCCUUAUUUUUAAUUUCUAUAUGGACUCUAUACUCUACUUCUAAUAUUCCUUAUUUUUAAUUCCGAAUUUCAAUUAUUUUCUAAUUGUAUUUCUAUAUGGACUCUAGUCUCCUCUUCUAAUAUCCUUAUUUUUUAAUUCCGAAUUUCAACAAUUGUAUUUCUAUAUGGACUCUGCUUUUUCUUUUUCUCCGAUUAAUGUAAGAAUUUCUAGGCUAUGAGAGCGAACGUGGAGGCUCCUUUUUUUAUUCCUUUAAUAAUAUAAUAGAUAAGGCCAUAAAUAUACGAAUGACUACUAAAACAGUUAUGUGCGUCAGCAUUUUGAUAAACCUGUGCAAUAAUUUAAACCAAGAUAAUUUUCACAUACUAGGAUUCAAUAUUCUCAAGGAAAGCGGUAUGGUUUGCCUUGCUCAACAACAAGGUCUUCCGAUGACUUGAUCUGCACUUCA